CUUUCUGGUCACAGGAGCUGAUUUCAGAAUAUUAAAAGCCUAAACAUCAUAGAGGUCAUGGUGGAAGUCAGUGGACACAGUUCACACCAAACAUCUGCUGUGGAUUUCAAAUAGAGGAAUGGCUUGCAGAUGGAGGCACCCUGUCAUGCCAGUCCACUAAUUUAAUCGUGGAUGCUGAAAAUGCUGUCUGGAAGCUUCCAAGGAUGCACCAUACAACAUUUAAGUUGUGGUGUAAUGAUCAUUGAUAUGUUCGUUGUGUUCAGGAGUAAAUAAGAUCAUAACCCAGGAUACACGACACUUUGUUGGUGAGCCCUUCCAUGGCCUUUGCGUGGGUGUGUUGCUAGUCAUCAUUUUCUAUUCACCUAAGCAUACCUGCCCCAAGGCUGUUUGCUAUUCUUUUUCUCAUGACCAUCAACUGCUAGUGCCCGACACUGAGCAUCUAGAAAGGGUUUGAGAAAGGAAUUAGAACGAGGAGAGGGAAGGGAAAGAAAUAGGCGGGGGAUGUCAAUAUUAAAAUUUGAGACUGUGGUAAAGAAAAUAUUAUUAAAACGUCUUGGGGUAUUUUGAUAGGGUUGAAAAUAUCUAGGUCAAAUAAGGUUCCCAGACGUGUGUUUCCAU
rnacentral:lncRNA from 1 species